AUGAAUGGUGUUUUGACAAAAGGUGGAAAGAAAUAUUUCAUGACGUUAAUUGACGACUCCACUAGAUACUGUUGUGUGUAUCUUCUGAAAUCUAAGGAUGAGGCUUUGAACUUUUUCAAGAUCUAUAAAGCUGAAGUGGAAAACCAACUUGAUCAGAAAAUCAAGAGGCUUAGGUCCGACCGUGGUGGAGAGUAUUUUUCCAAUGAAUUUGAUGCUUUUUGUGUGGAACAUGGUAUAAUCCAUGAGAGGACGCCUCCCUACUCACCUCAGUCAAAUGGGGUGGCUGAAAGAAAGAACCGUACUCUAACUGAUUUGGUUAACGCCAUGUUAGACACAUUGGGUCUCUCCAAGGCAUGGUGGGGGGAGGCGAUAUUGACAGCAUGUCAUGUCCUAAAUCGAGUUCCCACAAAGAACAAAGAGAUAACUCCAUUCGAGGAAUGGGAGAAGAAAAGGUUAAAACUCUCUUAUCUGCGAACAUGGGGUUGUUUGGCGAAAGUCAAUGUUCCAAUUCCAAAGAAGCGGAAACUUGGACCAAAGACUGUGGAUUGUGUUUUCUUGGGAUAUGCUUUUCAUAGCAUUGGCUAUAGAUUCUUGGUUGUAAAAUCUGAGGUACCUGACAUGCAUGUCGGUACGAUCAUGGAGUCGAAUGAUGCGACUUUCUUUGAAGAUAUCUUUCCCAUGAAGGAUAUGGCUACCUCAUCUAAUCAGGAGAUGCCUAGUUCAUCGAAUCAGGAACCAGUUACAAUUACCGAACCUGCCAUUUCGAUGGAACACUUUGAAAAUCCCGUGGAGGAGAACAAUGAAGUUCCUAUUAGGAGCAAGAGACAGAGGACUGCAAAGUCCUUUGGUGAUGAUUUUCUUGUGUAUCUCAUAGAUGACACUCCCAGUUCUAUUUCAGAGGCUUAUGCAUCUGAAGAUGCUGACUACUGGAAGGAAUCAGUUCGUAGCGAGAUGGAUUCCAUCUUGGCGAAUGAAACUUGGGAGAUAACUGAUCGUCCUUAUGGGUGCAAACCUAUAGGAUGCAAAUGGGUAUUCAAGAAGAAGCUUAGGCCUGAUGGUACUAUUGAAAAGUACAAGGCUCGGCUCGUGGCUAAGGGUUAUACCCAAAAGGAAGGUGAAGAUUUCUUUGAUACUUACUCACCUGUGGCUCGACUGACCACUAUUCGAGUUCUACUUUCACUAGCUGCCUCACAUGGUCUUCUCGUUCAUCAAAUGGAUGUUAAGACUGCUUUCCUGAAUGGAGAGUUGGAUGAGGAAAUUUAUAUGGAACAACCAGAUGGGUUUGUAAUAGAUGGUCAGGAAGGGAAAGUGUGCAAAUUGUUGAAGUCUUUGUACGGACUCAAGCAAGCACCCAAACAGUGGCAUGAGAAGUUCGAAAGAACUUUAACAGCUGCAGGCUUUGUUGUGAACGAAGCUGACAAAUGUGUGUACUAUCGCCAUGGUGGGGGCGAGGGAGUUAUGCUUUGCUUGUAUGUUGAUGACAUACUGAUUUUUGGAACAAAUCUGAAUGUUAUUAAGGAGGUCAAGGAUUUCCUAUCUCGCUGUUUUGAGAUGAAAGAUUUAGGAGUGGCUGAUGUCAUUCUGAACAUCAAGUUGUUGAGAGAUGAUGAUGGUGGGAUUACAUUGCUUCAAUCUCACUAUGUGGAAAAGAUCUUGAGUCGCUUUGACUAUAGUGACUGCAAGCCCUCUCCAACACCAUAUGAUGCUAGCGUGUUGCUUCGAAAGAAUCGAAGAAUUGCUAGAGAUCAAUUGAAGUAUUCUCAGAUUAUUGGCUCGCUUAUGUACUUAGCCAGUGCUACAAGACCUGACAUAUCUUUUGCUGUUAGCAAGCUGAGUCGGUUUGUCUCAAAACCGGGAGAUGUGCAUUGGAAAGCUCUAGAGAGAGUUUUGCGUUAUUUAAAAGGCACUGUAAACUAUGGAAUUCACUACACUGGGCACCCAAAGGUGCUUGAAGGGUAUAGUGACUCAAACUGGAUCUCAGAUGCUGAUGAGAUAAAGGCCACGAGCGGAUAUGUGUUCACUCAUGGAGGUGGCGCUGUUUCUUGGAAGUCUUGCAAGCAGACCAUCUUAACGAGGUCAACUAUGGAAGCAGAACUCACAGCACUAGAUACAGCUACGGUCGAAGCAGAUUGGCUUCGCCGACUCUUGAAUGACUUGCCGGUUGUUGAGAAACCUGUACCGGGUAUCCUUAUGAACUGCGACAAUCAAACUGUGAUCACGAAAGUUAAAGUCUAUCAGGAAAAUGAGAAACUCCGGAGUUAUUGCAUUGGAUUAUAUCCAAACGUCUAA
rnacentral:rRNA from 1 species